rnacentral:rRNA from 1 species
GGGCGUUAAGUUGCAGGGUAUAGACCCGAAACCCGGUGAUCUAGCCAUGGGCAGGUUGAAGGUUGGGUAACACUAACUGGAGGACCGAACCGACUAAUGUUGAAAAAUUAGCGGAUGACCUGUGGCUGGGGGUGAAAGGCCAAUCAAACCGGGAGAUAGCUGGUUCUCCCCGAAAGCUAUUUAGGUAGCGCCUCGUGAAUUCAUCUCCGGGGGUAGAGCACUGUUUCGGCUAGGGGGCCAUCCCGGCUUACCAACCCGAUGCAAACUGCGAAUACCGGAGAAUGUUAUCACGGGAGACACACGGCGGGUGCUAACGUCCGUCGUGAAGAGGGAAACAACCCAGACCGCCAGCUAAGGUCCCAAAGUCAUGGUUAAGUGGGAAACGAUGUGGGAAGGCCCAGACAGCCAGGAUGUUGGCUUAGAAGCAGCCAUCAUUUAAAGAAAGCGUAAUAGCUCACUGGUCGAGUCGGCCUGCGCGGAAGAUGUAACGGGGCUAAACCAUGCACCGAAGCUGCGGCAGCGACGCUGAUGCGUUGUUGGGUAGGGGAGCGUUCUGUAAGCCUGCGAAGGUGGCCUGUGAGGGUUGCUGGAGGUAUCAGAAGUGCGAAUGCUGACAUAAGUAACGAUAAAGCGGGUGAAAAGCCCGCUCGCCGGAAGACCAAGGGUUCCUGUCCAACGUUAAUCGGGGCAGGGUGAGUCGACCCCUAAGGCGAGGCCGAAAGGCGUAGUCGAUGGGAAACGGGUUAAUAUUCCCGUACUUGGUGUUACUGCGAAGGGGGGACGGAGAAGGCUAUGUUGGCCGGGCGACGGUUGUCCCGGUUUAAGCGUGUAGGUGUGUGUUCCAGGUAAAUCCGGUUCACUUUAACACUGAGGCGUGAUGACGAGGCACUACGGUGCUGAAGCAACAAAUGCCCUGCUUCCAGGAAAAGCCUCUAAGCAUCAGGUAACAUCAAAUCGUACCCCAAACCGACACAGGUGGUCAGGUAGAGAAUACCAAGGCGCUUGAGAGAACUCGGGUGAAGGAACUAGGCAAAAUGGUGCCGUAACUUCGGGAGAAGGCACGCUGACACGUAGGUGAAGUGAUUUACUCAUGGAGCUGAAGUCAGUCGAAGAUACCAGCUGGCUGCAACUGUUUAUUAAAAACACAGCACUGUGCAAACACGAAAGUGGACGUAUACGGUGUGACGCCUGCCCGGUGCCGGAAGGUUAAUUGAUGGGGUCAGCGCAAGCGAAGCUCCUGAUCGAAGCCCCGGUAAACGGCGGCCGUAACUAUAACGGUCCUAAGGUAGCGAAAUUCCUUGUCGGGUAAGUUCCGACCUGCACGAAUGGCGUAAUGAUGGCCAGGCUGUCUCCACCCGAGACUCAGUGAAAUUGAACUCGCUGUGAAGAUGCAGUGUACCCGCGGCAAGACGGAAAGACCCCGUGAACCUUUACUAUAGCUUGACACUGAACAUUGAGCCUUGAUGUGUAGGAUAGGUGGGAGGCUUUGAAGUGUGGACGCCAGUCUGCAUGGAGCCGGCCUUGAAAUACCACCCUUUAAUGUUUGAUGUUCUAACGUGGACCCGUGAUCCGGGUUGCGGACAGUGUCUGGUGGGUAGUUUGACUGGGGCGGUCUCCUCCUAAAGAGUAACGGAGGAGCACGAAGGUUGGCUAAUCCUGGUCGGACAUCAGGAGGUUAGUGCAAUGGCAUAAGCCAGCUUGACUGCGAGCGUGACGGCGCGAGCAGGUGCGAAAGCAGGUCAUAGUGAUCCGGUGGUUCUGAAUGGAAGGGCCAUCGCUCAACGGAUAAAAGGUACUCCGGGGAUAACAGGCUGAUACCGCCCAAGAGUUCAUAUCGACGGCGGUGUUUGGCACCUCGAUGUCGGCUCAUCACAUCCUGGGGCUGAAGUAGGUCCCAAGGGUAUGGCUGUUCGCCAUUUAAAGUGGUACGCGAGCUGGGUUUAGAACGUCGUGAGACAGUUCGGUCCCUAUCUGCCGUGGGCGCUGGAGAACUGAGGGGGGCUGCUCCUAGUACGAGAGGACCGGAGUGGACGCAUCACUGGUGUUCGGGUUGUCAUGCCAAUGGCACUGCCCGGUAGCUAAAUGCGGAAGAGAUAAGUGCUGAAAGCAUCUAAGCACGAAACUUGCCCCGAGAUGAGUUCUCCCUGAGAAUUAGAGUCCACUGAAGGAACGUUGAAGACGACGACGUUGAUAGGCCGGGUGUGUAAGC